GCCGGGGUGGCGGAACAGGCAGCCGCAAGGGACUUAAAAUCCCUCGAGCCCAAAGCUCGUACCGGUUCGAUUCCGGUCCUCGGCACCA
rnacentral:tRNA from 1 species